AGUGAACGCUGGCGGUAGGCCUAACACAUGCAAGUCGAACGGCAGCACAGGAGAGCUUGCUCUCUGGGUGGCGAGUGGCGGACGGGUGAGGAAUACAUCGGAAUCUACUCUGUCGUGAGGGAUAACGUAGGGAAACUUACGCUAAUACCGCAUACGACCUACGGGUGAAAGCAGGGGAUCUUCGGACCUUGCGCGAUUGAAUGAGCCGAUGUCGGAUUAGCGAGUUGGCGGGGUAAAGGCCCACCAAGGCGACGAUCCGUAGCUGGUCUGAGAGGAUGAUCAGCCACACUGGAACUGAGACACGGUCCAGACUCCUACGGGAGGCAGCAGUGGGGAAUAUUGGACAAUGGGCGCAAGCCUGAUCCAGCCAUACCGCGUGGGUGAAGAAGGCCUUCGGGUUGUAAAGCCCUUUUGUUGGGAAGGAAAUCCAGCUGGCUAAUACCCGGUUGGGAUGACGGUACCCAAAGAAUAAGCACCGGCUAACUUCGUGCCAGCAGCCGCCGUAA
rnacentral:rRNA from 1 species